rnacentral:lncRNA from 1 species
CUUUCAGCGUCACCAGAAAGCUGGCAGGCACCAUGUGGAAAAAUUUAAACAAGAAAAAACUGUGGUAGAGGUGCCGAAUGAGGAAAAGGAGUGUGUGGUGGAAGAAGUUCUCCACUGUUGUGCGGUGAAGGGUAAAGUGGAAUAGCCGCUAAAGUGGAAGGGUUUCGCAGAUGAGGACGACAAACACAGGGGGAGCCAGAUGAGAACGUCAUUGCUGAGUUUCUGCAGUCACAGAAAACAGCCCGAGACAGAUGAGUCAGAGGGAGGCAAGCACAAAGCUGUUUCCGAUUCUGGAGGUAAGGGAGAGGAGGUCAAACCUAAGAAGAAGAAGUCGUCAGAAAAGCCAAGAGGGGCUUUGCCCUGGGUUUUGAGUCACAGAGGAUUAUUGGAGCUACCGACUCCAGUGGAGAGAGAGCCCAUGUUCCUGAUGAAAUGGAAAGCCUCUAAUGAGGCUGACCUGGCUUCUGCCAAGGAAGCCAAUGUCAAGUGCUCACAGAUUGACAUAUCCUUAUGUGAGGAAAGGCCAGUGUGGUAUUUCUACCCCUCAGAGGAUGAUAAC